CUCCGAUACGAGCAAACUUGGCGAAAGUCCAGGACGCAAAGCCACGGGUCUAAGGCAUUGUUAUGCUAUGACAGCCGGGCUGCCGAA
rnacentral:ncRNA from 1 species